rnacentral:lncRNA from 9 species
GUUAGAUAUUUUUGCUGUAUUUGGAGAUGUUUAAGCAUUAAAAUAAAAUCAUACUUAUCCUUUCCUCUCAUUUCUAUGGGUUCUGUUAGAUUUUCAUUAUCGUUCUAAUUUCUCCAAGUCAACUUUCAAGUGAACAAGGAUAAAGAACCAUUCUUCUAGGAUGAGAGAGAAAAGGGUGUGAGCUGUUUUAUGAAGAGAGAUUACACAUGGAGAGAGGAGCACGAUCCCAAAGGAGACACACAUGUCGAGUCGAAUCGGAGAAAUAAAUGUGAGUUGUGCCUUCUGAAUACGGAAUACCCAGGUCUCUGUUGUUUCCAUCUUUUUUUCUUGAGGGACUUGAACUUAGAACACACAGCAAAUUUCAUGAGCAUUAAAAAUUGGCUGCCAAGAAUUGAGGUAGUAAAAUUAAAAUAAACUUUGGAGUCAGGCUGAUCUAGGGUUAAAUUCUAGUGGCUGCGUUGUCCUGGUUGGGUGGCUUUGAACAAAUCAGUUCUUCUCUCUGAACCUUAUCAUCAUCCUAAAAAAUGAGGCUAGAAAAUCCUGUCUUACAGGGAUGCUGUUAAGAUGAAACAUCAACCAGUCUGUAGGUCACUUAGCAUAGUGCCCAGUCUGUCAUAGCCACUCAACCAAUAAAUGGUAGUCCCUUCCCUUUUCCCUUGGCAGAGCUCUGACAGCUUUCAAAAGUUGCCAGCAGAGUAAGACCACAGCAAUCUAAAAAUGCAUCCUCUUAAUUACUGUUGGUUUGGAGGGAGACUGACUCAUCUUUAGCCCCAGCAGCAGCAGGUCCUGGUCAGAAGAGAGGCAGUGCUGGGUCACUGGCCUUGCCCUGGAACCCUGCCUCUUCCCAGCGUGCCCUGGGCUGCUGCCACAUUGGGCCCUUCAGACUCAGUACAGCAAAAUUGCUGUUCACAUGCCAUUUCAUUUGAAAAAGGUGGAGUUUGGAAGCGCCAAACAAGGGAUCUUUAGAAAGAAAAUGCAGUGUUUCCCAUUAUCCUGGCUUUACUUCCAAAGAAUCAGGUACUUCUAGUGAAGACUUUAACACCAUCUUUGAAAAUCUGUGAAACCCCAGUAGCUCAAGACCUUGGUGAAUAAGUGGUGUUCUCCAUCCUCUCCUCUUUCAUUUUGGCAGAAUUUUUUUGGACAUAGGGCAUGAUAGAGGUUCGGUUUGGAUCUGGGUUUAAAUUCUAAAUCCAUAAUGCCAGCUGUGUGACCCUGGAAGAAUCAUAUAUAAUAUGGGAUUAUAAUCAAUCAUCAUUAUAACACAAAAAUCCUUUUUUGUUUUGUUUUGUUUUUUGGAAAGAAAGUAUUUUCUCUCUCCUUUUCCUCUCCCUGAGUGGAAAGGAGCAAAUGGGUUUUAGGCACAACAGAAUGUUUUGGGGCUCAUGGCUUAGGUAGGGAACAGAGUAAUAGCACUGUUGUGCUUCUGCUCUAGAGGAUCAGGGUUACCUCUGGGCUGGUGGAGCAUAAACUUUUACUGUUUAGAGGGCAUGUAUUAAAGCCUACUUUGACUGCCUGCACACCUUCUAGUCUGCAGUCCCGAAAUGUGAGCACAACUUCUGAGUUUUGUCUGUUUAACAAAUAAAUAAUUUGUUCAUCAUUCUUUAAAGGAGCUCUGAAGAUACACCAAUAACAAGGAGGCUAUGUUUUUUUGGAACCUUUCUCUAAAAAAAUUAUAGCUCAGCAUAGGCCUGGAGAAGAGGGACCAGGAGUGAUGGGGACCACAUGGCCCUAGAAAUUCAACUGACUUCAUUCUAACUAUGCAUAGGGUAGUUUUUCCUAUUUCAUCAAACUGGAGGUGAAGGACUGGUUUUAUUUCUUUCAUUUUAAUUUUUGGACUGGGCUUUGAGUAUGCCUUAAGGAGAGGCCAUCUAUCAGCCUGCUUCUGGAGGGUGGCAGAAAGCAUUCAGAAAUACCAGCCUUGUGCCACUGCUCUGAGGAGCUCAGCAAGGUGCCUUUGCUCUGGCACUGUCUUCAUCAGCAGUCCAUACCUUUCACACAUCUGUCAUUUCACUGCAUACUCUACUGU